UCAGUUUUGUAUAAUGAUGAGCAUUUUGGCUACAUUACCCACCAACAUGGGAGGAUUAGAAGGAGCUGUGGUGUACAUUGACACAGAGUCUGCAUUUAGUGCUGAAAGACUGGUUGAGAUAGCAGAAUCCCGUUUUCCCAGCUAUUUUAACACUGAAGAAAAGUUACUUUUGACAAGUAGUAAAGUUCAUCUUUAUCGGGAACUCACCUGUGAUGAAGUUCUACAAAGGAUUGAAUCUUUGGAAGAAGAAAUUAUCUCAAAAGGAAUUAAACUUGUGAUUCUUGACUCUGUUGCUUCUGUGGUCAGAAAGGAGUUUGAUACACAACUUCAAGGCAAUCUUAAAGAAAGAAACAAGUUCUUGGCAAGAGAAGCAUCCUCCUUGAAGUAUUUGGCUGAGGAGUUUUCAAUCCCAGUUAUCUUGACGAAUCAGGUUACAACCCAUCUGAGUGGAGCCCUGGCUUCUCAGGCAGACCUGGUGUCUCCAGCUGAUGAUUUGUCCCUGUCUGAAGGCACUUCUGGAUCCAGCUGUGUGAUAGCCGCACUAGGAAAUACCUGGAGUCACAGUGUGAAUACCCGGCUGAUUCUCCAGUACCUUGAUUCAGAGAGAAGACAGGGCAGUAAACAAGAGCUCUGAAAGGGGAAGGAAGCCAGGAGAAAGCCAGCUCCAUUAGUCACGCAGCAGCAUAUCCUGUCACAAAGGACCCCAGUUGAGUAAUCGCCCAAAAUAUGCCUGUUAUUUUUUUCUGUCAGAAAAAAAAUGGGGCCUGCCAAAAUGUACUGUAAAAAAAAAAAAAA
rnacentral:sRNA from 1 species